rnacentral:rRNA from 1 species
GCAUCGAUGAAGAACGCAGCAAAAUGCGAUACGUAAUGUGAAUUGCAGAUUUCAGUGAAUCAUCAAAUCUUUGAACGCAACUUGCGCUUAAGGCCAAUUACCUUAAGCACGUUUGUUUGAGUGUCGGUAAAUAUCUUAAUCUAACUGAUAUGAGUUUCAAUCCUACUUUUGUAUGAUCGUUACUUUAAAGGUAUUUAUCUUCUUGAUUUUAAUCAAUACUACUAUUAUGUAGCAAAGACUCCUUUUAGGAAUCUAAAUACAUUCUAGUGAAUUGUUUAUCAUCAUCAUUGUUCCUCUCCAUUAUUCGACCUCAAAUCAAGCGAGAUUACCGGCUGAACUUAAGCAUAUCAAUAAGCGGAGGA